ensembl:lncRNA
UUUCCUCUUACCACUUCUCCAGACGUCUUCACUGGUGGAACACUUCAGUGGUGCAGCAAAGAUUCCUCAAAAGGUCUACUUACCUUGUUGAGAAGUUGCUUUUCCUGAGAUGCUAGAAACACUCCAACAGUAGCUCACAGUGCUCUUCAUGCAGAUGCAAACACUACUGCACCUGUGAAUAAAAGAUACCAUAUGCUACUGCUUCUAGCAGUUCCGGGGGUUAUUUCACAUGUAGGAAGCAGGCCCGUUGUCAGUUCAGGGGUGUGUUUUAUGUCAUUUACUUAGGACAAGGUUCCCCCUUGAGUGACUGGGGUUUACACAACUAGAUCCCUCAUAAAGGCACCUGCUUAGAAUUUGCUGAGAAUUCAUCCUCAGAGAAUCGGUCCUCUUCACAUACACUAGUAUCUGCAAACCUCUUACCCCUCAUUAAAAUCACAAUCUGAUGGAACUGGCUUUGUGCAAAGGGGGUGCAGGUUUGGUCACCACGCUCGGAAAGCCACCCUGAAUCAUAAAAAGGCCAUCUGAAUGGCUGAAGAAGAAACCGUUGUAUGAGAAGAGUUUGGUUUUUUUCACUCUAGCAACACAGGGAAAGAGGACACAUGCUUGAUUUCUGCAAAUACAUCACAAAGAAAGAAAGUUGACUGCAUUUACUUGGACAUAAGGUAACAGGAGCGACCAACGGAGCAGGGAUGCUGUUGCUAAAAGGCUGGACCAUUCUGACUAAGUUACACAAAUCCAAAUAUAAGGCACUCUCUUAUCAUCUGCUCCUUUUGCUUAUUGAAUUGUAGGAGGAAAUAAUUUGAUCUAGAAUACAAGGUGAUCUUAUAUUUAAGCUCUUUUUUUUUCCCCUGAAAGAGACAAAACCCAGAAGAAAUCUAAUAUCCAGGCUCACGUGCUAUGUGUGUACAGUCUAAACUGCAAGAGAGGUGUGGCACAAUAAUAUAUGUGAACAAACUAGUCAUUAGUAACUCUACUCUGGAAAUUGAAGAAGGUUUCUAACAAAGAGAGUGGGAACAACCUGGUUUCAGAACGGUGCUUAAUAAAUAGUUUGUGAUAGAGUAUCAUUGGACUUGAUCCUUCUAGUCCUUUCUUUAGCAAAACAAGAGGCUUAUUUCUUUUUUAUCCAUGCAGGUAUUUUCUACAGAGGUGACGGUGAACCAGAACAUCAGCUUCAGACUUCCUUGGACUUGGACUGUGAUUCAUACUCUCCAGUUGGAGAUCAUUUGAAGACAUAGGUUGUAAUUAUACAUAGGCAGAGGAAGUAAAGCAAUUUUCACAACUCAGAAGAGAGGUAACAUAGAUUUCCUCACGUGAGGGUCACUUUAGAGAGCUCUGUCUGAGGAUGGGCAGUGGUUUUGCUUGCAUAACCCUCAGACAGGAACAAAAACUUGCCAUAUGUUUUGCUGAGUUCCAUUGUCUCUUCCUCUGUACGGAAAUGAAAGCCUAUUUCUCCACUAGUUCCAUGAAAACUAUCUGAAUCCUGGUAACAUGUCUCUGAGAAUUUGCUCAGAGGGAAUAACAGACAAGGGUACACCCUCCACUGCUAUGUUACUGUUCCAUGAGUUCCAGACAAAAGCAUUUAUUGUGGUUUGGCAGCAAUCACCUACUCCUAAAGCCCUGGGAUUGUAUUGUUCUUUACUUGUCAGAAGUUGAUUUAGUACCUACAGGCACAGAUUGCAGGGUUCAUCCUUUUAGGAAGGAUCUUGAGGCUUUCUAGACUGCUGGGGUCACAUCUCACAGCCAGGAAGACCACUUGGAGGAGUCAAAAAAGCUCACUGUGAAGACCAGGCCCUCAAAGAAGCAAAAGCUCUGCCCUGCAAUGAAUGUUCCAGGAUCUUUAUUCUGACCCGGGUUACAUGGUAAUACUCCAGAAACAGAGCAAUCAACUGCCAGGCCCAUAAUAAUAACUUUGAAUCAUUAAAGAUACAUCUUAGGGAAAAUUAUUGUUAAGGCCCCAAAACUGGGUUGCUGUGUUUGGAAUUCUAAUAAUGGUAGGCGAGUUUGGCUGGAAUUCCUAAUGAUACAAAGAUCUUGCAAUCUUGCUUAUCUGUAGCUAAGAUAAUGAGCCUGGGACCUGAACAAAGCUAUUAGGAGGUCCCUCUUCUGCUCUGAAUGGUGUAUCUUUACUUUUAAAGCAGGUCAUUAGAAGUCAUAUCUAAUGAAAACUCCAUCUGGUUCCCAUUGAGCAUACACUUGGCUUUUAUUCUUUUUUAUCCCUAAGGUUGCAUGAAGCUUCGCAGCACACAGUGCUGACACCUGCACAACGUAACAGGACAAGCCAGCCCUCAAUGAGCUUCCUUUGUCCAGAGAAGUUAAAUAUUGGGUAUAUCUGGAUCUAUUAACAUGAAGCUGAACUUUUCGACCUUUAAUUUCUUUCAUAUCCAGGAACUGGAGAGAGAUGUAUAAAUAUGGUAGUGGUGUAAUAAAUCUUAGGUCACAGAGACCUGCACAGGUCUGAGUCUGCAGACCACAAAGGUUAUUUUACAAAGCAUUAGCAGUAAAAGCCAAAACUUGCCUCUCAGUGCUCUCUUCUUCACGUUAAGACACAGGGUCUGUGACACAAAGCUGUGAUCCCUACAGACACUCCUACAGAAGCCAAACAGAUACACAUGCAGUUUCCAUUACUAAAUAAUUCAUUUGCCAGUCCCAGAAAAAGCUGGUAGUGUUAGAUAAACAUGUUAUGCUAAAGUGCUUUUGAAGCCCAGUUUGCAACAGACUUAAGGAUUUACCCAAGAGUAGAUUUUCUAUCCUCUUAGAAGGGUCUUCCUCCCUUAUUCUCUAUCCAGACCUGGCUACCUACAGUAAUGAAUUUUUUAGGGAUUUUAUGACUUUGAGACCUCUUUCAUUCUACCAGAUGUGGCUAAAACAGUCAAUGGCUUAAGAAGGGACAGGUGAGAUAAACAAGCUGACACACGGGUAGACAAUAUAUUCUUACAGCCAGGCUGACAAUCAAAUAACACGGCAAAGAGAUCACUGACAGCACUUGUGUGGUGAGCAGGAAUGUGUGGGAGCUUCUGUUCUGGUGAUAUGAGCAUCUGCUCUGUGGCUGUGGAUUGCUCUUUGUUAUAUCAUCUGUUCAAGUUUAAUAUUCCAAAGAAAUGAAAGUUGGGACAUUCAUUCCCAACCAUCUGCAGUUCCUGUUAGACUCUUGGAGACUCCAUCUGAUUUCCUUUUUCUUUUACACCCAGACACUACUGGCUGAUAUCCAUCAUCCUGCCAGUUAACAAAGACUUGGAAAACUUUGGCAUAAGUUCCAGGCUGUGUCUGGCUUCCUUUUGUCAGUCCUGAAAGGGGCCAGAAAACAGGAAAGAGCCCUCCCAGUCUUAAACUGCCGGGCAGAGGGGAGAUUCCUGGGUGAUGGCUGCCUGCCACACACACCCUUGCAGACCCCUGGGACAGGGUGAGGCUCGGACAAGGAAGGGGACCAGUGUGGAAGAUGAUGGGUUUAGCCAGAUUGCACUGCAGUUAUCUUUGGCUGCUGGUAUGUUUUCUUGGAGACCAGGGUGAGCAUUGUUCAGAGAUCACUCACAUCUGAAGAAUCUGAAGCAGGCCUCUGCACCCAGCAUCCAAGAGUGGCUGCUGAGUACCGACAUGGGGGUCACUUUGUAACACAGACAUUGGUUCCAGCUGACAAGGUCUCCUGAAGGAAAAGCUCCCCAGCAACAACCAGAGUCCUAAAAUUUGGGUUUAAAAUUUCCAUUGCCAUCUUUCUUGGGACCUUUCAGAGAUUCAACUCAGAUUAAAGGACCAUUAUCAAACAUAAUGAAGAAAUCUGGCUACUUUGCAGUUGAAGAUGAGUGAGCCCUCAUCUCUAGCUCUUGCUCUGUUUCUACAUGAUUGCUCCUCUUUAACCAUAAACAGAUGCCACCUCUUACACAGGCACAAGUGAAGCUGAAUACAUCAAAUUGCUGAUCUACUUCUUACCUUCUUGUCUCAUCUACUUCUACCUCUUUAAUUAUUGCUCCCCUUUCACGCUUUUCAUUUUCAAAUGAAUUGUUCUUCUACAUUAAGCAAACUAAACUAACCUUGCAGAGGAAUAAAAAGACAGUGAGAGAGACUGCUAGAGUUCUCUUACAGGACUGUUCUCAACACGUAUGCAGAAAAUUGGAUAGGUGUAACUUAAAAUGUAACUUAAAAUGUAUCAAAGAGGUUUGAAAGAAGCAACUGUGAUUUUUUUAAAGCUUUAUUCUUAAAUCCUGAUGACAUUUUGUAAUAGCCAUAUAACCAUUUCUUAAUCUAGACAAAUAGUUUUUACAUUGGAAAGGUAACAAGUAGAGAGUUUGAAGGCCUAAUGUAGGGUUAUUAAUCAGAGAGAUGAUGAUAAGGUUAU